rnacentral:rRNA from 1 species
AGCAGCCGCGGUAAUUCCAGCUCCAAUAGCGUAUAUUAAAGUUGUUGCAGUUAAAAAGCUCGUAGUUGAAUUUCGGGAUCAUCAGGUUGGUCGUGCCUCUGGUAUGUACUGAUUUCGAUGGUUCCUCCUUCUUGAAGAUCCGUAAUGCCAUUAAUUUGGUGUUGCGGGGAAUCAGGACUGUUACUUUGAAAAAUUAGAGUGUUUAAAGCAGGCAAUCGCUUGAAUACAUUAGCAUGGAAUAAUGAAAUAGGACGUUCGAUCCUAUUUUGUUGGUUUCUAGGAUUGACGUAAUGAUUAAUAGGGAUAGUUGGGGGCAUUAGUAUUCAAUUGUCAGAGGUGAAAUUCUUGGAUUUAUUGAAGACUAACUACUGCGAAAGCAUUUGCCAAGGAUGUUUUCAUUAAUCAAGAACGAAAGUUAGGGGAUCGAAGACGAUCAGAUACCGUCGUAGU